rnacentral:rRNA from 1 species
AAACCAGCACCUCAAGUGGUCAGGAUGAUUAUUGGGCCUCAAGCAUCCGUAGCCGGCUCUGUAAGUUUUCGGUUAAAUCUGUACGCUCAACGUACAGGCUGCCGGAAAUACUGCAGGGCUAGGGAGUGGGAGAGGUAGACGGUACUCGGGAGGAAGGGGUAAAAUCCUUUGAUCUCUCGAUGACCACCUGUGGCGAAGGCGGUCUACCAGAACACGUCCGACGGUGAGGGAUGAAAGCUGGGGGAGCAAACCGGAUUAGAAACCCUUGUAGUCC